GAUGAACGCUGGCGGCGUGCCUAAUACAUGCAAGUCGAGCGAACAGAUAAGGAGCUUGCUCCUUUGACGUUAGCGGCGGACGGGUGAGUAACACGUGGAUAACCUACCUAUAAGACUGGGAUAACUUCGGGAAACCGGAGCUAAUACCGGAUAACAUAUUGAACCGCAUGGUUCAAUAGUGAAAGGCGGCUUUGCUGUCACUUAUAGAUGGAUCCGCGCCGUAUUAGCUAGUUGGUAAGGUAACGGCUUACCAAGGCAACGAUACGUAGCCGACCUGAGAGGGUGAUCGGCCACACUGGAACUGAGACACGGUCCAGACUCCUACGGGAGGCAGCAGUAGGGAAUCUUCCGCAAUGGGCGAAAGACUGACGGAGCAACGCCGCGUGAGUGAUGAAGGUCUUCGGAUCGUAAAACUCUGUUAUCAGGGAAGAACAAAUGUGUAAGUAACUGUGCACAUCUUGACGGUACCUGAUCAGAAAGCCACGGCUAACUACGUG
rnacentral:rRNA from 1 species